UUAAGGUUUGUAAAACGCUCUGCUGGGGAGAGAUUUCCAACCCUUAUAGAGAAUGUCUCAAUCCCCUCUCCAACCGAUGUGAGAUUUCACAAUCCACCCCCCUUCGAAGCCCAGCAUCCUCG